AUAUAUAUCAACCUCUUCAACUGUGUUGAGUGUUGGAUGUGGGGGUUUCCUUUUGCUGGCCUCUUUAAAAAGGUCAGCUCCCCUAAAAUGUAUUAGCGGAACAGUUUGUGGAUCGUUCAUUGGUGUGAUAACUAUCUACGCUAUAGACGAGAAACAGUUUCUGCUUCUAAUAGUCCAUUUAUUUGGACAACUCUUUUUUUAUUA
rnacentral:misc_RNA from 1 species